AAUGGCAGCAAUGGGAUCCACACCACACACGUUGACUGGGAAAACGCCAGCAGAGCUGAUGAUAGGGCGAAACCUGCGAACAAAACUGAAUGCUCUUCAACCAUCAUCGCACCCAAAUCCAGACACAAAAGCGAGGGCGGAAACGAUAGCACACAGACAAG